CGCUCUUUGCUAACACAAUAGAAAUAAAAGAGUCAUGCCUGCCCAGUGACUUAUAUCCCGUUUUUAAAAACAUGUCUAUGUGAAGUUAUAUAAAGUCUAACCUGCCCAUCGAAUAAUUUUAAGAGGCCGCGGUAUAUUAACUGUGCAAAGGUAGCAUAAUCAUUAGUUUUUUAAUUGAAGGCUUGUAUGAAGGGUUGGACAAAGAAUAAUCUGUUUCUAUUUUUAGCAUUGAAUUUGACUUUUAAGUUAAAAGGCUUAAUUAAAUUUAAGGGACGAUAAGACCCUAUAAAUCUUUAUAUUAAAUUGUUUUUAGUUUAUUAAUAAUGUAAUUUAAAUAAUAAGGCAAAAUAUAUUGUGUUGGGGUGAUGGGAAUAUAAAAAAUUAACUGUUCUGAAAUAAAAACAAAUUUAUUUGAUUUAAUAAUAGAUCCUUUUUAAAGAUUAAAAGUUUAAGUUACUUUAGGGAUAACAGCGUUAUUUUUUUUGAGAGUUCAUAUGAAAAAAAAGUUUGCGACCUCGAUGUUGAAUUAAAAUUUCUUUGCGGGGCAGUUUCUGCAA
rnacentral:rRNA from 1 species